CUGAGAUUAGCGGCGGACGGGUGAGUAACACGUGGGCAACCUGCCUAUAAGACUGGGAUAACUUCGGGAAACCGGAGCUAAUACCGGAUACGUUCUUUUCUCGCAUGAGAGAAGAUGGAAAGACGGUUUACGCUGUCACUUAUAGAUGGGCCCGCGGCGCAUUAGCUAGUUGGUGAGGUAAUGGCUCACCAAGGCGACGAUGCGUAGCCGACCUGAGAGGGUGAUCGGCCACACUGGGACUGAGACACGGCCCAGACUCCUACGGGAGGCAGCAGUAGGGAAUCUUCCGCAAUGGACGAAAGUCUGACGGAGCAACGCCGCGUGAACGAAGAAGGCCUUCGGGUCGUAAAGUUCUGUUGUUAGGGAAGAACAAGUACCAGAGUAACUGCUGGUACCUUGACGGUACCUAACCAGAAAGCCACGGCUAACUACGUGCCAGCAGCCGCGGUAAUACGUAGGUGGCAAGCGUUGUCCGGAAUUAUUGGGCGUAAAGCGCGCGCAGGUGGUUCCUUAAGUCUGAUGUGAAAGCCCACGGCUCAACCGUGGAGGGUCAUUGGAAACUGGGGAACUUGAGUGCAGAAGAGGAAAGUGGAAUUCCAAGUGUAGCGGUGAAAUGCGUAGAGAUUUGGAGGAACACCAGUGGCGAAGGCGACUUUCUGGUCUGUAACUG
rnacentral:rRNA from 1 species